GAAAAAUCAACAGUGUAUCAAAUACUUGUUCUCCCCACUGUAAUUCAAAGAGCUAUACAACAGUGAUGCUGUCAGGGAUAAACACCCUGAUCCACAGCACCACUACACCAGUCAGGACAAACCAGAAGAGGAAAACAGGAAAAAGACAAGGAUUGAAAGGGAAGCAGGUCCCACAGCUUCUCUGCGUCAACCCCCCCAUCCCCAUACCUCUCAUUGGAUUCUGGGUCCAUAAGAUGCCUCCGAUGAGGUGAGGAGACUGACCGAGCAUCCCGACUUUAACKUCCCAGAACGAGCGCCUUUAAUUAAAAUGUAAAUUGACAAUCACGAGGAAGAUGAGCACAUGUCCACCUGCUGCCUUGAUGACGGGUCUGUUGCAUCAAAACACAAUAACUCUGCCUAUCAUCUAUAAACACACAAAAUAAAAUUUAAAUAAAUAACUUAGAGCUUCUUCUUCCUCCUGAGAACACUCGGUGCCAGGUAAACCAGAGGUGAUUAUGCAAAAAAAAAAAAAAAAAA